GCCGAGGUGGCUUAGCCUGGUUAUAGCGCUCGGCUCAUACGGGCCUUCCCGGGGGUAGCGCCCCGGGUCCUGAGAAACCGAGAGGUCGGGGGUUCAAAUCCCCCCCUCGGCA
rnacentral:tRNA from 1 species